GGUCGGUAACCGUGUGGCGUCGGUAGGAGGUAGAAAACGAAGAAGCUUCGAAAAGUCGCGGCUUGACUUGCUCGAGGCGAAAGAAGAGAGCGUGUAGGCGCGUUAGGAAUGUAACAUCUCGAAAACGUUGUGUGCCAUGAUCGUAAAGCAUCGCGUGGGUCUUUUCGAGGCUCGGACGCGCAAGGGGUUGUGUGCCAAGCCUCUGGAUGAAAUAAAUCCGUUCGCUCGGACGUCGAGGGAAUCUUUUUUACCCCAUCGUAGAUCGGUCGACGAUCGUUUAGGAUUCACCCGCGUAGGUGGCAUGGAGACUGACUGACGACCUUGUAAAGAACAUCCACAAUAGCUUAUUAGUGAGUUAUAGCCGCUAGAAUUCGUCCGUUUCAAAAAAGUUGACAUUGAGUUAUUAGAGGUUAUAGUAGAUAGAUACUUCGGAACCGUAUUUCUCGCGAGUAACUAUGCGCAGACUGCCGAUAAGAAAUGUAUAUAUUAACGGAUAUAUUCCAUUUUAUUCGCUUUGUAACAUUUUUUGUUAAUUUUACGUAUGUACCGUGAAACUCGUUCGACGUCCAGCUCGGUUUAUCGUCAUCUCGAGCAAGCGUGUUUAUGGGAUCUUUCUUAAUGGCGACGGUCCUUGGCAUGCAUCGUUGACUUUUAAUUUCAAGUCGAUAUUUAUUUCGCGAGAAAAGCAAGAAAUCCGGUUCUCGAUGGCCGAACGGGAUUGUAACGACGCGUUUUGCAUAGAGGCGACAAUUAAAGGAGAAAAAAAAUGGAACCUGUUCUUGCCUCAGCGGUGGAUGCAGAGGAAAAGCAUCGGUGAUCGAAGUGAUCGAUAAAAUGAUCGGUUUAAUCAUUUACAUGAAUCAGAUAAACGCCACAAGAAAUGUCAGAAAAUACAUCGCCUUAAAUAUCAGUAACUUUUAUAGUUUAAUAAAUGCAUGGGCGGUAACGAAAACACACGGGUCAACGUGUUUAAGGGCCUAUAAUAGAGAGUUGACUUUUCGCCAAUCGACCCGAAACCUCUUGAUCGACGAGUUUGAGGCACUUUGGCCAUCAGCCAGUGCCGUUUUAGAAAGAUAUCCGGCCUGAUCGACUACGGGGACGUGUAUCGAUACCUCUCGAAUCAACGGGUCGCUUGUAUCGCGUGGAUCGUUCCUGGAAGGAAUCGAUAUCGAUACGGAACGCAUUUUAGAAUAGAAAUAAAGAUGGCGGAGAAGGCACGAAGGGAUUCUGAGGAAAUAAAAGCUCAAGUUCAGAAUAAAGUCAGCCAGUGAUCUCCGAGCGUGAACGUUGAAAUGGACCGAUUGAAGAGCGACUCGUCGAGGCCUCGUUUCGUUGCAAAUGCUUCCUACAUCAUCGCGCCAUCAUCUGGUUAGCUCGACGUAUUAAUAAUUGCGCGAUUGUGUAAUAAUCAAAAGCCGUGAGGGACGAUGGUGUAUCAUCCUCUCGAUCAAGAACGACACUCCACGCUUCAGCUAUAUUUAGUCGGUUGGAAUUGAAGAUUUUCUACAAACUUUCUUCCAUUGUUACUCAAGAUAUCAGAGGUACAUUUGAGCAGUAACGGCGGUAACAAAUAAGUGGUAACAAAUAAGCUGUUAAAGCGUUAGCAAACAAGCUGUUAUAGCAGUGGCAAAUUUGAAGAUUAAGAAGCGUUUUUGAAGGAACUAGGACGUGCGAUAAUUUACGGUCGCUCUUAUCAGCCCGUUAUCUCAAAUCUUUUCGAAAGUCGUCUCUGACAAAAUUCGAGAAAAGGAACGUAAAAAUCCUGCCGCAAAUACGUUGAGAAUGCACCAUCUUAUCAAAUAUAAACUGCACAUUCCGCUAAAAUUAUUGAAAACAUUCUUAUCUGUUUUCUUGUUUUACAUUAAGAUAAAGGUAAAAUUGUUUGCAACUUCAAUUUUGGUGGACAUAGAGUGUGACUCAACGCAUUUACCAUACUUCAUAUAUUUAUAAUAAAGCCUGAAGGAUAUUAUGUAAAUAAAUGAAGUUCUGACAAUAGCACAUAAAUAUUGUGCGGAAACAAAUUGCUCUGAAAUUAUAAAAAAUAGUUUGAAUAUGUAUAUUUUUAAUAGCUUUGUUGUCACUCUUAUCAGUUCUUGAAAUAGAAACUGUUGUUACAGAAUUUUCUUUGGAAAUAUGUUGCGAAUGUAAGAGAGUCCAUAGAAAUUAUUUUUGGAAGUGAGAUAAUGUAGAAGAAGACAGUGUUUACAAGACCAAUGCACGAACGGCGAGGACAUACGGCCCUGAAUUUCAUUUCUCGUCCCUGAAGCCGAGACGUAGACAUUUAGUUACACGCCACGAAUGUUAAUCCCCCUGAUCGCGCCUCUUCCCCCUCUGGAUCCUCUCGAAUACUCCGGCGUAUACUGGGUGACAAAUUUUUGGGACUCGAGAAAGUUUCGGCCAAUUAUGCUAAAACGAGUUUAUUAAAAUCGGCUUUUAGCCGCAGGUUGCAGCCGUUGCGUAAGAAACACUUUCGAAGUCGAAAUUUAUUUCCGGCGAAAGAAAGCUAUCUCGGAAUUUUUUCGUAAGUAGAAAUCGAUUGCGAGACCCGGUUUCUACGAAUUUGAUCGACCUCGCGGAAUUUAGACGGUUUCGAAAAAAUUGAGAGAACGUGAAACUAACCUCUUACGGACGGUAAUCCAAUGACUGUUGGGAAAUCCUCGUAACCGACGUAUCGUAAUCGGACUCUGAUGCACGUAAGGGUACACCUGCAUAGGGUGUUCAAAACUCACCUGCAAAUUAUUCACAAAUAUUGUUACUCUUCAAAAAUUAAUCUUCAAACAUCCUUGCAGUUUAUAUAUAAGCUACAUGAAAAAUUUUACCUCUGAACUCCAGUGAAACUAAAAACUAAAAAUCUGUGGGAAGCGACAAACGAGAUCGGACAAACUACCGGCGGAAAAGAGGAAAGAGGGUAAAAUAAAGUGAAUAAAAAAAGGAAGGAUCAAGAAGCGACAGGGUGAGCCGUAAGAACAGUCGGCAAAAGCAAAAGGAGGGAGAGAAUGAGAAAGCAAAGAGUAAAAGAGGGAGAGCAGCAGACGGAAAGGUAGACAAGAAAGGCAAGAAAAAGAAAAGAGGGUUUUAUAAGAGGAAGAGGGGUGAAAGGAGGGGAAUGGAAGCAUGUGAUGGGCCGCAGGACGACUCGGCAGGAUACGCGACCAGCUGCCUCGUUAUUUUCAGGACUUUACGCUGGGACGAGCUCGGGAUUCGAUGAGAAACGUUAUGCCGGUUCCUCGAGCGAAUUAAGCCUCGAAAAUUAAUGAGAAUACCUAGGCGAAUUUAUUAUGUGUUCUCUUCGUUAUACCAAGAUUUCGGUACAGAUGUCGAAAUGGAGGAGUUAUAAGCUUGAGAAAUUAAAUUUAACAACAUAGAAGCUUGAGGAAUUAAAUCUAAGAACAUAGAAGCUUGAGGAAUUAAAUCUAACAACAUAGAACCUUGAGGAAUUAAAUCUAAGGACAUAGAAGCUUCAGAAAUUAAAUCCAAUAAUAUAUAAGCUUCAGAACCGGUAGCUAAAGACAUGGACGCUCGAUAAGUGGACGCUAAGAACAUGGACGCUCGAUAAGUGGACGCUAAGGACACAGACGCUCGUUAAGUGGACGCUACGAACAUGACGCUCGACAAGGAGCUAAUAGGUCUUCAAAUAAUGCAAAUUAGGAAGAUAGAACCUUCAUUCUAUGAUUUCAAGGUGCUGUCAUACAACAUUGAAUCAAUCUUGUCGCUACCCUAACCUCAUUUUGAUAUAUACAUCCUUAACGCAUAAAACCUUGAAGUCUAAAACCUUGAAGCAUAGAAACGAGUAUAAAACUUGAAGUUACAUAACCUUUUUGAAGAAAAUCCCGACUCAACGUUUUUAAUAAUACAUCGAUAGAGUAAAUGAUAUUGUAAGGUAAUUGUACAUUCGAGUAUAGUUUAAAGGUUUCGCUAGUAGAAGCUAACACCCUCGCAGGGCGCGGCUCAAUCAAUUACUAUGGCGAGGGUGCGGUCGUUCUGCGCGAGUUCCACCCCUUGCAUGGCAACAAGCCUCGUGCAAGUUUUCUAUUUUACCGUGCAACUAAAAAAGUAUCAAUAAUAACAUUUUUGUUGAGCGAAGACAUUCGAAACAAAGAUACUUUCGGAAUACUAUUUCUAUCGAACAAUAUUAUCUUACUAAAUAGAUGUAUCUAGCGAAUAUUAUCUUAGGUUAGUUAUUUCUUCCUCGUUCAAACACUGACGUAACCGUCAAUCGUGAGAUCAAGAUUUUUCAAGGUUUCGCAGACCUUCGAAACUUUCCACGAUUACUAAUUUUCGACUCGAUGCUGAACAAUUAAGGGGAACCUUGGUUUCUUUGUCUCGAGCCCCCGAAUCGAUCAGUUCGAGUCCUACACGUGUGUUUCGAUUAUUUUUACUCGGGAUUGCCUCAUCGAAAGAUUUUAAAUAUACCGGGCGAAUGAUCUCUUUAUGAAGGUGCCAUUUCAGCAACCUUCUUGAAAAACUUCUUUUCUUCUCUUCUUAUUUUCUUCUUAUAGUUUGAAAGAAUAAAUGAUAGGUGAUUUCAAACUGUUUUAAUUAAAACUAAUUGCAUUAAUGAUUGCAGCAAUUCAUUUGAACUGUUGAAGCUCUGCAUGAAUUUAUGGAUGUGCAAAAUUUGUAACAAGAUGGACGAAUAACCUAACAUAACCCUUGUGAUGGAUGAAUAACCUAACAUAACCUAACAUAACUCAUACAUUGUGACUGGACAUUUUUUGGAGCUUAGAAAUAAUUAAGAUAAAUUAGUUUUGAAAGCUUUCUCUCGCAUGAUAUACGACAAGGGACAACGAAAUCGGUCCCUGACGACGCCAUGUCUAAAUAUAUCCAGCCGUGACACUUGUUUCAUGUAAAUCAAGCCCGUGGACGACGAAAAAGCGGGGAAACGCGAGCGAUGCUGGAAGAAACGGGCAGACAACCUCGACAGACCAACUUGUCGCCUCCGGAUGACUCGGAUACUAAAAAUUCUUUUUUUAUAACGUGAAUCAAUUUUUGCGAAAACCUACGUAAUUUCAUCGUCUCUCGGCUAUUAAAGAUUUUAUCGUUGCCUGAUAAAUUUCUAUUUGCUUAGCUGCUAGAAUCUCUACAGACGGUUUUACAUUAUUUUUGGAUAUCGAUAUGGUUCAUCAAUUUUACCUACAUAGAUUGAUUAGUUAUCAGUUAUCUUGAGAGUUGGAACUUUGAUAAUUAACUAGGAAACAUUUCUGUUCAAAUAAUACUUGAAAUAUUAUACUUGUAAAGUUUCUUUAUUGCAAAGGUUUUUCAAUGUGAUUUGCACAUGUUUCAAAUACUUCACUACCUUACAUAAUAGUGUUCUUAUUAUCAGAAGUAUAUCGUAUAUUCAAUAGAGUGUUAAUUAGGGGACAUUAAAAUUGUUUUCGAGCACCUGAAUAAAUAUUUCGAUAGAAUGGUUUUGAUAGUCGAUCAAAAGAGAGAGGAAGAAAUGAGAGUGUUAACUUGAAUUUGGCAAUUCGAACCGAGAUUCGAUUUAAUCGUAUGAAAUUGAGAACAACAAGUUGAAAGUGCACGGAUAACUCUCGAGAUAAAUGGAGAAAUCACAAAGCUUGAUAUCGGGAAUUAUUGACGUGGGGUAAUAACGUAAAUUUUUUGCGAUUUUAUUGAUGUCGUUGUGAGGUAACCUUUUUAGAUAGCAACGUGGUAAAUUACGUUUUAAAUAAUUUACUAGUGGCAAAUUUAAUAUUAGUUAUUUUUCUGGGGUAGGAAAUUUGAUUUUAGUUAACUUACUACUUAUACUAAA